rnacentral:rRNA from 1 species
GGUAGCGAAAUUCCUUGUCGGGUAAGUUCCGACCCGCACGAAAGGCGUAACGAUUUGGGCACUGUCUCAACGAGAGACUCGGUGAAAUCAUAGUACCUGUGAAGAUGCAGGUUACCCGCGACAGGACGGAAAGACCCCGUGGAGCUUUACUGUAGCCUGAUAUUGAAAUUCGGCACAGCUUGUACAGGAUAGGUAGGAGCCUUUGAAACGUGAGCGCUAGCUUACGUGGAGGCGCUGGUGGGAUACUACCCUAGCUGUGUUGGCUUUCUAACCCGCACCACUUAUCGUGGUGGGAGACAGUGUCAGGCGGGCAGUUUGACUGGGGCGGUCGCCUCCUAAAAGGUAACGGAGGCGCUCAAAGGUUCCCUCAGAAUGGUUGGAAAUCAUUCAUAGAGUGUAAAGGCAUAAGGGAGCUUGACUGCGAGACCUACAAGUCGAGCAGGGUCGAAAGACGGACUUAGUGAUCCGGUGGUUCCGCAUGGAAGGGCCAUCGCUCAACGGAUAAAAGCUACCCCGGGGAUAACAGGCUUAUCUCCCCCAAGAGUUCACAUCGACGGGGAGGUUUGGCACCUCGAUGUCGGCUCAUCGCAUCCUGGGGCUGUAGUCGGUCCCAAGGGUUGGGCUGUUCGCCCAUUAAAGCGGUACGCGAGCUGGGUUCAGAACGUCGUGAGACAGUUCGGUCCCUAUCCGUCGUGGGCGUAGGAAAUUUGAGAGGAGCUGUCCUUAGUACGAGAGGACCGGGAUGGACAUACCUCUGGUGUACCAGUUGUCGUGCCAACGGCAUAGCUGGGUAGCUAUGUGUGGACGGGAUAAGUGCUGAAAGCAUCUAAGCAUGAAGCCCCCCUCAAGAUGAGAUUUCCCAACUUCGGUUAUAAGAUUCCUCAAAGAUGAUGAGGUUAAUAGGUUCGAGGUGGAAGCAUGGUGACAUGUGGAGCUGACGAAUACUAAUCGAUUGAAGACUUAAUCAA